CAAUAGCGUAUAUUAAAGUUGUUGCAGUUAAAAGCUCGUAGUCGGAUUUGGCAUCACGCCGAACUGUCUGCCGAUUGGUAAGUACGGUUUGGCGGGUGCUUCCUUCCGGAGGCUCGUUCCCUUCUUCAUUGAAGGGUUCGUUGGUUCCGGGUCUUUACUUUGAUGAAAAUUAGAGAUGUUCAAAGCAGGCCUAUGCUCUGAAUAGGUUAGCAUGGAAUAAUAGAAUAGGACUUUGGUUCUAUUUUGUUGGUUUCUAGGACCGAAGUAAUGAUUAAUAGGGACAGUUGGGGCAGUUCAUAUUCCAUUGUCAGAGGUGAAAUUCUUGGAUUAACGGAAGAUGAACUUCUGCGAAAGCAUCUGCCAAGGAUGUUUUCAUUGAUCAAGAACGAAAGUUGGGGCUGCGAAGAUGAUUAGAUACCA
rnacentral:rRNA from 1 species